GGAGGAGGUCCAGGAUGGCCAGUUCCAUUAGGAAGAAGGGACAGCUUAACAGCAAACCGAACCCUUGCAAAUCAAAACCUUCCAGCACCUUUCUUCAACCUCACUCAACUUAAAGCUUCCUUUGCUGUUCAAGGUCUCAACACCCUUGAUUUAGUUACACUCUCAGGUAUACAUAAUCAAUUUUUUAUUUGCUAUUAGCUAGCAAUAAAAAGUCUCUGAUACAGACAUAUUUAGAUAAAUUAAUUUCUCCAUAAACAUUUAUAAUAAAAUUAUCAAUUUAUGUACUUAAAAAUUAUGGAUUGAAGCUCUUUUCAUCCAACUUUUACUAAAGUUAAGGUGCAUAUAAUAUAAAAUAAACUAUCUCUUGUUUCUUAUAAAAAGAUUGAAGAUAAGUUAAAGUCUACUUAUAAAUCAUUAAUAUAUGUAUAGGUGGUCAUACGUUUGGAAGAGCUCGGUGCAGUACAUUCAUAAACCGAUUAUACAACUUCAGCAACACUGGAAACCCUGAUCCAACUCUGAACACAACAUACUUAGAAGUAUUGCGUGCAAGAUGCCCCCAGAAUGCAACUGGGGAUAACCUCACCAAUUUGGACCUGAGCACACCUGAUCAAUUUGACAACAGAUACUACUCCAAUCUUCUGCAGCUCAAUGGCUUACUUCAGAGUGACCAAGAACUUUUCUCCACUCCUGGUGCUGAUACCAUUCCCAUUGUCAAUAGCUUCAGCAGUAACCAGAAUACUUUCUUUUCCAACUUUAGAGUUUCAAUGAUAAAAAUGGGUAAUAUUGGAGUGCUGACUGGGGAUGAAGGAGAAAUUCGCUUGCAAUGUAAUUUUGUGAAUGGAGACUCGUUUGGAUUAGCUAGUGUGGCGUCCAAAGAUGCUAAACAAAAGCUUGUUGCUCAAUCUAAAUAAACCAAUAAUUAAUGGGGAUGUGCAUGCUAGCUAGCAUGUAAAGGCAAAUUAGGUUGUAAACCUCUUUGCUAGCUAUAUUGAAAUAAACCAAAGGAGUAGUGUGCAUGUCAAUUCGAUUUUGCCAUGUACCUCUUGGAAUAUUAUGUAAUAAUUAUUUGAAUCUCUUUAAGGUACUUAAUUAAUCAUAUAGUCCAUAUUUGUUGGAUGGCUAGAAAUCAAAUGAGAUUUUCUUCACAACCCGUUCAAUUAAGUAGUUAAUUAAAUUCAGAUAAUGGCAGGAUUCUGUUAUCCCUUUUCAUUUUGGUUACUUAAUCUUGUAGGUCGUCUAAAAUUUAGUUUUGGUUAGAAUUACUGAAGCUAAUAUACCGUACUACAUCAUCUUGUUGCAUUUUGUUUUCUUUUUAUGGUGGGCUUUUUUUGCUUGAAGGAGUUAGCUAUGGUGUUUUUUGUUGAUGUGGGCCAGCCUUUUUAUUUCUUCUACCUGUGUUCACUCUUUAUGUUGCUGCCAAAACUUUUACAUUCUUUGUCCUUUUAGUAUAUCGGCAGUUACUUUCUGCUCCUCCAGUAUACUUCCUGUACCUUUUUAAGCUUUUAGAACACUUAAUUCAAUAUGUAAAAUAUUUUUUUUAUUAAAUAUCACAUCUCUUAAAACACUUUGAUGUUGUAAAAUAUUGAUUUUUUUUAUUAAUUUCGUUUAUUUUUGUAUAUUUUAGUGAUUGCAAUAAGAUACUAUUAUCAAUAUAUUUUUUUACUUAAAUAAAAAAUUAUAUCAUAUCUAAUAUAUUUAUAUUGCUAUAAAAUUUUGUUAAUAAUAUAUAUUCACUUUUUUUAUUAAUUUAUGUAUAUAUAAAUUAAUUUAUUAAUACAUACUAAUUAUAAUAAAAUUAAUUUUAAUAAAUAUAUUAAAAUUAAUAAAUAUAGUAUUAUUUACUAAAUAUAAAAUAAUUUAUAUGUGAUGAUUUAUAAAACCAGUAUAUAUUAAUAUGAUUAAAAAAUAUAAAUAUAAUUCACAUUUCUUAGUUUAUAAAUUAUAUUUAUUAAUAUUAAUUUUAAUAUUUAAAAUUAUUAUUAUAAUUAAUAAUUAAUAAUUAAUAUUUUAAAAGUAUUAUUAAUUGGAUAUAUAUGCUAGUUAAAAAUAUGUUUAAGAGAUAUGGUAUUAAAAUGUAUAAGCUAUAGUUAGUUUGGUUUUAAUUUAUUAAUUGCCUACUUAUGCCCGCAAGCUAGUUAAAAGGGCUUAUUUAGAUCAAAGCUGCCCGUAUGCUAAUUAAAAGGGCUUAGUUAAAGAAAUCCUCAUAAAUAAUGUUAAAGAAUUAAAAUUCAAAUAGCUUGGAUCGUUUCUCUUGUCGUUUCACUAAUUAAUUUCCUUGUAAUAUUGUUUCGCAUUUUUUUAACAUUACAUAAAGAAAUCUAUAUAAUAAACGUGGAGUGCAACAAUCUCAAAAAUGUCGUUAUCAAACACCAAACAAAAAUGUCGUUAUUAGCGCUGUGUUCCACAUAUUAGUAUAUUACAGAAGUUGACGAACAGUUAUUAAUGUGUAAUCUACUAGCAAUAUUAGAUUAAUACUUCUAGUAUUUUCUCCUAGUAAUACUCUUAAGCAAUUAUUGUCCUCUCCUAUUAUUUUCUACUCCAUCUUACAGGGAUCUUGUCUUAGAUCAUCGUGCUUCCCAUCGCUAAAGAAAUCUGUACAUAUAAAUCUCAGACAUAGACAAAUGGCCUGAAAUUCUAUACAGAAAUGCAAACAAAACUGAAACACACACAUAUAUCAAAUAUUUAUAUUAUCAAAACAUUUUAUUAAUCCCUUAAAAAAUAUUUACAUGAAACCAAUCCAAAUACAAGUGGCAAUAUAAUUAAUUUUUUAAAUUAUAGAAGUUUCCCAUAUAUAAUUAAUGUAUCAACUAUUUAUUUUUUGUUUGGAAAGAAGGAGCCUAAACCCGCAUGUAUCACCUAACUUAGACUGUUUCUCUUGUCCUUUCGAUGACUCAUCUGUUGUUUACCACAACAUAUAUAGAAUACUUAGACUUUUAUAAUUUGGUCACUAGGAUAUACCUUUUUUUUAGGGGGUCACUGGGAUAUACUUAGUAAAUCAAGAACGUUAUUAUUAAUUAUUAUUGGGUAGGGGGGAGGGGCUCUAAUCCAAAUCAACACAAAACAUUAAAGUAUAAAAACCCUAAAUAUGUGACCGAUUUAUAAAUAUAGUGUAAAUAUCUUUGCUUUACAUAUGGUAUC
rnacentral:lncRNA from 1 species